AUGAGUGUGGUGGGGUUUGAUCUUGGCAAUGAGAGCUGCAUUGUGGGGGUGGCGCGGCAGCGCGGAAUCGACGUGGUCCUCAAUGAAGAGUCCAAGCGGGAGACCCCAGCUAUUGUCUGCUUUGGCGACAAGCAGCGUUUCAUCGGCACUGCAGGUGCCGCCAACUCCACCAUGAACCCCAAGAACUCCAUCUCCCAGAUCAAGCGCUUACUGGGACGCAAGUUUGCUGAUCCUGAGCUGCAGAAUGAUAUUAAGGCCUUCCCAUUCGGUGUCUCGGAGGGCCCUGAUGGGUUCCCGCUUGUUCACGUACGGUAUCUGGGGGAGGAGCGCUCGUUCACCCCCACACAGCUGCUUGCCAUGGUGCUGUCCAAUUUGAAGGCCAUCGCUGAGGGUAACCUCAACUCGGCUGUUAUUGACUGCUGCAUUGGUAUCCCAGUCUAUUUUACUGACCUGCAGCGGAGGGCUGUUAUUGAUGCUGCAACAAUUGCUGGUCUCCGGCCAUUGCGUUUGUUCCAUGAGACUACUGCGACAGCAUUGGCAUAUGGGAUCUACAAGACUGAUCUACCUGAGAAUGAUCAGCUGAAUGUGGCAUUUGUUGAUGUUGGGAAUGCCAGUAUGCAGGUCAGCAUUGUUGGGUACAAGAAGGGGCAGCUCAAGAUGCUAUCACAUGCAUAUGACCGUUCUCUUGGCGGAAGGGACUUUGAUGAAGCCCUUUUUAAGCACUUUGCAGCAAAAUUUAAAGAGGAGUAUAAGAUCGAUGUCUACCAGAAUGCCCGUGCCUGCAUUAGGUUGCGUGUGGCAUGUGAGAAGCUCAAGAAGAUGCUGAGCGCCAAUCCAGAGGCACCAAUGAACAUUGAGUGCUUGAUGGACGAGAAGGAUGUACGAGGAUUCAUUAAGAGGGAUGAGUUUGAACAGAUCAGCGCACCAGUGCUAGAACGUGUGAAGGGGCCGCUGGAAAAGGCAUUGUCAGAAGCUGGCUUGACGACAGAAAGUCUGCACUUUGUUGAGGUUGUUGGAUCAGGCUCUCGCGUUCCUGCAGUAAUGAAGAUAAUUACUGAAUUCUUUGGAAAAGAACCAAGGAGAACUAUGAAUGCAAGUGAAUGUGUUGCCCGGGGAUGUGCUCUCCAAUGUGCUAUUCUUAGCCCGACGUUCAAAGUGCGGGAGUUUCAGGUUAAUGAAGGGUUUCCUUUUUCAGUUGCUUUAUCAUGGAAGCCAGAUGCUCAGAACAAUGAAUCCCAACAAACUGUUGUAUUCCCCAAGGGGAAUCCAAUGCCUAGCAUCAAGGCUCUGACCUUCUAUAGGUCCAGUACAUUUGCAGUAGAUGUUUUGAAUGUUGACACAGAUGAUUUGCAAAUAACACACAAAAUUAGCACUUACACGAUCGGCCCUUUCCAAUCCAGCAAAGGUGAGAAGGCUAAACUGAAAGUGAAAGUUCGCCUCAACAUCCAUGGGAUAGUGUCUCUUGAAUCAGCAACGAUGCUGGAAGAGGAGGAAGUGGAAGUUCCGGUUUCAUCUACGAGUGAGGUGCCAAAGGAUGCUACUAGAAUGGAGACAGAUGAUGCACCGCAGGACCCUGCGUCUAGUGCUGGUGACCAUACGCAGGAACCUAAAGGAGCUGCUGAUCCUGCUGAGGGUGCUGCUGAAAACGGGGCACAAGAUUCUGAGGAAAAAACUGUUCCAAUGGAUACUGACACAAAGGUUGAGCCAUCAAAAAAGAAAGUUAAGAAAACAAAUGUUCCAGUUGCCGAAAUGGUGUAUGGGGCGAUGGGCACUGUUGAGCUAGAGAAAGCUGUUGAGAAAGAAUAUGAAAUGGCUCUUCAGGACAGAGUGAUGGAAGAAACCAAGGACAAGAAAAAUUCAGUCGAGGCUUAUGUUUAUGACAUGCGUAACAAGAUUCAUGAGAAGUACAAUGAUUUUGUCAUGUUGGAGGAUAUAGAAGGGUUGAUGGCUAAACUUCAGGAGGUUGAGGAUUGGCUGUAUGAAGAUGGUGAGGAUGAGACCAAGGGAGUCUAUGUUGCAAAACUAGAAGAACUGAAAAGGCUUGGUGGUCCUAUCGAAAUGCGCUACAAAGAGUGGACAGAAAGAGGUCCAGCUCUUGAGCAAUUGGUGUACUGCAUCCGCAGUUUUAGAGAGGCUGCAUUGUCUGCUGACCAAAAGUUUGAUCACAUAGACAUAUCAGAGAAACAAAAGGUCGUUAAUGAGUGCUCGGCCGCAGAGACCUGGCUAAUGGAGAAAAAGCAGCAGCAAGAUGCUCUACCGAAGCAUGCUAAUCCCGUCCUACUUGUUUCUGACAUAAAGAAGAAGGCUGAAGCGCUUGACAGGUUCUGCAAACCCAUCAUGACCAAACCAAGGCCAGCGCCAAAGCCCCAGACCCCGCCACCAGCAGAAACCCCAUCACCCGAGGCUCAUACACCGGAACAACAAUCAAAUGGAGCCGAGUCCGCUGAGCCAGCUAGCGACGGUGCUCAGGAUGAGCAUGCGGCUGAGCAAAUGGACACUGAUAAGGAUGAUCCUUCCCAGGUUUAA
rnacentral:rRNA from 1 species